UAUCCGGAUUUACUGGGUGUAAAGGGAGCGUAGACGGUAGACCAAGUCUGAAGUGAAAGCCCGGGGCUCAACCCCGGAACUGCUUUGGAAACUGGUAAACUAGAGUGCAGGAGAGGUAAGUGGAAUUCCUAGUGUAGCGGUGAAAUGCGUAGAUAUUAGGAGGAACACCAGUGGCGAAGGCGGCUUACUGGACUGUAACUGACGUUGAGGCUCGAAAGCGUGGGGAGCAGACAGGAUUAGAUACCCUGGUAGUCCACGCCGUAAACGAUGAUUACUAGGUGUCGGGGAGUUAAACUCUUCGGUGCCGCAGCAAACCGCAAUAAGUACUCCACCUGGGGAGUACGUUCGCAGACAAUGA
rnacentral:rRNA from 1 species